rnacentral:rRNA from 1 species
UACGUAGGGAGCGAGCGUUGUCCGGAUUCAUUGGGCGUAAAGAGCUCGUAGGCGGCUUGAUAAGUCGGAUGUGAAACCUCCAGGCUCAACCUGGAGUCGCCAUCCGAUACUGUCAUGGCUAGAGUCCGGUAGGGGCCCACGGAAUUCCUGGUGUAGCGGUGAAAUGCGCAGAUAUCAGGAGGAACACCGGUGGCGAAGGCGGGUCUCUGGGCCGGUACCGACGCUGAGGAGCGAAAGCGUGGGGAGCGAACAGG